ensembl:lncRNA
GCUCACUCAGCCUCAUAUCAAUAUUGAGCGCUGCGUGACAUUUAACCCAGUUACACUUUUACUUACGGCAGAGGACAGAUAAAAACUAUGUCAGCCAGAGCUGACCUACAAGAUAUGCCUUUUCCAGAAGCUGAUUUAACUAUUGUUUGUUGAUGGUUCAAGCUAAUAAACCUUGAACGCAUAGCCACUACUUCCACACUAUUCCGCACAGGCAGCGGAACUAAUUGCACUGACACACAUGCAAAAGACCCGGUUUCAUUGGGAAACCACAAAGCAGACAAGGCCACUAACCAGGCCAAACUACAACAACCAUCUGACACAUGCACAAUUGAAGAAUUAGAUCUCACAAUAUUAAAAGAUAUGCUGCAAUAUUGAGCCAUGGUGAAAACAUGCCUCAAUAAGUGGGGAUAGUAAGCAUAUAUUUGUACUUUAUAUUUCAUGAGAAAGAUGUUUAAUCAUUCAUUAUUGAUUUUAUUGAGUUAAAUCCCAACGAAAGAAAGAAAUAUUGUCUAGCCAUAGACAAUCACUGUUCAUACAACCCCCAGUCAGCCGGACUGGUAGAAAAGAAUGAACCGACCUAUUGAAAGCAAUUUGAAAAUCCAAGAGUGAAAUUAGUGAAAUUAAGCAUGCAUGUUGUUAUCACUGUUUGAAAUGAUGUAUGGAAGAAUCUACACUGCCUAAACUCUCAAACCAUUUGCUGAAACAGACUAAGAGAUUGAAUAUACAUUUGCAGAAUAUAUGGCAAAAAUGUGAAUUAGCAAAAUGCUCUCAGAACUCUCUGUGCUCCGCAGGAACCUGUGAGGCUGAAACCAAGGUUGGGUCAGGAGAUUGGGUCCUAAUCAACAGCCUCAAAAGAAAACACUGCCACUUGCCCAAGUGGGACAGACCAUACAAAGUGCUACUGUCAACAUCUACCACAGUCAAAAUAGCGGAGAGAGCCACCUGGAUACUGGGAGGGCGGGGCGGUCCUAUCUCUGUGAAGUCAUGGGGAGUUACAAGGGGAAAAUGAAACAAUGUGUGGAACUUUUGAUCAUAACUGUACUGCUCUACAUUUUGGGACUUUUAACAUAUUGAUCACAACAGGCAACGGUCUUGGUCAAAUGUCCGCGAUGGGGCCUAUAAGAUCAUCCGUGGUGGAAAUGGGUGAACCAGAG